UGUGUUUGAGCGUGUGCAUGCGCGUGUAUGCGCUAAGAUUCUUCUGCCAGAAGACAGUGGCUUAAGCAACAUGACAGGUAGGCAUGUCUAUCGCGAAGCUAAUCAAGUGGCUGACCAUCCGGCGAACUCGGUGAGCUCGACUCGAAGAGAGUCCUGUUCAAUAUCUACUGCUCCUCCUUUCCUAGCUCAUCGGUUUCAAGCUGAUGCUGGUCUGGACUGUAGCUGCUGUCAUGGAGAUCUCUUGAAAAGCUUGUAGUUUCCAGGGCUCAGGAUCUUCAAUGGAGACCUCUAACUCUGCUCAAAUCGAUAGCCGAUAUUGAAAGGAAGAGAGAGCAUAUCUGAUUCGGGCGACGCAUGAAUCGCUGGCAAAACCUUGAGGGCAGUCUUCUGUAUUUUCCCCCUGAAUAGCUGCAGAAUACUUUGCAUUAUAUCUCUCCCAUACCAAAAGUACAAAGAAAGGUGAAAAGAACAUCCUGAGAGACCAAUGAACAGGUAAUUGUUAUCAUUUGGGUUGGCCGUGCCAGGGGCUCAACUCUGAAGAAACAGUUACACUUAACAUUUUGUGCUUUGGCAUCAGAGCGUUAUGGAUCGAUGACAUCGUUAACUGGUGGAAGGCAUGGUAAUUCACACAUUUGUUUACCAUUUCCAGAGAAAAAUAUUAAUAGCCUUCCUGUUCCUCGCAUUUUUCCUGAACUCUUUUUCCCUUUCUCAGUUUUCUGUAACCAGAAGUAUUGAACCAUGAGAGGUCAAUAGCUCGCAACACACUUUAUACGUGGUUUCCAUGAGAGAGUCCAGUCCUACAACAUGUUACUUUAAAACUAUAGAAACAUUUGCUGUCACAAAAGAAAGGAAAAGAGAACAUGUCUAGAUGGAUUAGAGAAGUGGAGAUUUCACAUCGGAAAGUUUUCGAGUAUUGUGAAAAAUAACUGCUAGCACAGAUUUUUCACGGUCAGGAACUAGUAUUUUCUUCAAUAAAAGAGAUGGUAAGUCAUGCAUCUCCAUACUAAAUUCCAUGCUACCUUAAAUAACAAUGAAUAUCAUUUACAGGCUCCGUCACAUGGAGGAUGCAUCUCUUGAUUUUGAUUCAGCUCAGUAUUUUGAGCUUCACCAGUGUCAGCUUCCUUCACACCAUCCAUCAAAGAAGUCGAGUUCUCACCCUUUUCCUGGCCAUUGCUGCUUCUGUCCGCCUCAGAAUCUCCAAGGGAACCCGUCCGUAGUAAUUCCUUCACCUUAUGGAAUUCAUCAUAGUGAGCCCGUCGGUGCUCCUUGAAACUUAAUCUUGCUCUAUCUGUUUCGGAAUCUGAGAAAAAAAAAUGGGAAACACAACUCAUUACAUGGUCGGUAUAGACUUUCGAUUCAGCAUAUUGUCCACUUGAUUUUAAAAUCAUAUAAUCAUUAGGCAUAUUGAAAGAAGUCAAUUAACAUCAACCUUCCAACUGGCCAAGUAAUGCCCUUAAAACCUAUAUAGGCCAUAUUAACAUCAACCUUUGAACUGGCCAAGAAAUGCCCUUAAAACCUAUAUAGGCCAUAUUAACAUCAACCUUUCAACUGGCCAACAAAUGCCCUUAAGCUAAAUAGGCCACCAUUAGUUUUCCUUCUAAUCAGUAAGUGGCACAAUGGAAAAGUAAGAGAGGGAAGAAAAUCUCAAACUAAAGGAAACACGAGAGACUUGCAGGACUCAUCCCUCAUUAUUAAAAACUAUUUUCUACAGUCCUCUACAUCUCAUCAACAGGAUAUAAAGAUGGCAUGUAAAAGUAAAACAUUACUAUGAUGCCGAUGGUAGUCUAAAUCAACUACGAGUGUCAUGUUAGCAUGUAGCAGGAAAGAUAUGAUCGACGCACAUCUCUACUAUGAACUCAAGAAACAACAUUUUCUAAGUAAAUGCGAUAUGGCAGAAUUUUUAAAAAGUCUGUUGUAGAACACAAAAACUCGAUAUUAAGUACCUAGUACAUAUUAAGUUUAAAAUUUCUUAGUUUAUUCAACAUCGAGAGCUUGAUGAGGGCUUUGCAGGCUCUUCAUAUGCUAGGCAAUAGUAAUAGAACUUUUGCUUUAGCAAAGAAAAGAAAAGAUGGAUUAUUCAUACUCACAUGCACAGUAGUUGUCUUGAGUCAGUAACGAAUAAAUGUGGUAGAUGGCUUCAUAAAAUUGAUCGGUUUUCAGUCAAAAUGGACCGAUUUCAGCACUUAAGGACUAAACAUAUGUGAACAUGUAAGUGAUCAGCAAUUUAUGAUGGGUGGUCUGGACUGUUAGCCCUGCUUAAGAGCCAUCCUAGCCAGUUCUUGCCCAGAUAUUUAAGCCAUGACACGUGGCCUAGAUAAUAAGCCAUGCAGUUCUUGCCUAUUUGUUUGGCUUUCUCCCUCUCACCCCAUUUCUCUAGUUCCCAUACACGUGGCCUAGAUAUUUAAGCCAUGCAGUUCUUGCCUGUUUGUUUGGCUUCUCCCUCUCACCCCAUUUCUCUAGUUUCCAUAGAUCUUCCUUUGUUUUGCAUUUAUUCUUUUUUUUUAUUGUUUCAUUUGAUCCUUUCCCUCCAUUCUUUGUAACUGCAAAUCUUGAUGGCUUAACCGAUCAAGAGUUCUAGAGAUCAAGGCUGCAAAUGGCUACCUUUUGUACGAGCCUUGGGACUUGAUCAAGUGUCAUAUGUGCAACAUGUCAAAUUCUCCCAUUCCAAACUAAAAGAACCUAGUAACAAUAAUGAAAACCAUCAAUCUUAAAGACUUAGAGUGGUAGCAUCAUGGUUGGCAGAACCGUCCAAAAUUGUCCGGUUCGGGGCGUACCAAGCUGUACCGGCGGCGAACUGGAACAAUUCCGGCAACCAAAACAAGAAGCUGACAAUGGAGGGGGAGAAGGAGAAGGAAAGAGAGAAAAAGAGAGCAAGGGAGGAAGGGAGAGGGAGAGGGAGAGGAAGGAAAAGAGAGAGAGGUAGAGGCCGGCUGGCAAAGGGCCGGAGAGCUGUGUGGAGAAGGCGGAGGAACAAGGAUCCCGGAGGAGGCCCCUUUUUAUUUUUGCGAUUUUUAAGUAAAGUCGUCAAACCCUUUGCCGACUUCACUUAAUUUUUUUUAUUUCGGCAAAGGGUUUGCCGACUUUACUUAAAAACCCCAAAAAUAAAAGGGCCCCUCCGGAACUCCUGUUUCGAAUGAAACAGAGGAACCAAAGGCAAAGCCCCUCCUCCGCUUCCUUCGCAUGACUCGCCAACCCUCCAUCGGCCUCUGCCACCCUCCCUCUCUCUCCCUCCCUCUCUCUUUUUCUCUCUCCCAUUCUCCUUCUCCUCUGCCCCUUCUAUUGUGUCGGUACAGGCCAGACACAGAACGACAUGGGGUCGUAUUGACCCGUGCCGCCAAGCAACCAGUCCGGACCUUAGUUCCGGCACAGCAGUCCUUGGGUAGCACACUAAAACAAAUCAAAUUGCCAUCAGAAAUACAGUGUCAAAAAUAAAGAAAACAGUGCCUUCCAACUUAGCUCGUUUCUUUUGUAAUGACUGAUUCUAUAGGCUGCAACUUUAUAUAUGCAGGUUAGGGUGGGUUUCCACUCCUAGAUUAACCAAUCAAGAAAGAAAGAAAGAAAGAAAAUAAAGAAAACACCCAAAACAAAAAGAACCAAACCCGAACAAAAAAAGCCUCAAACCAGCAAUAAACAAGCCUAAACUUUAAUCUCUGCCACGUCUCUAACCAAAUUCUUCAUGACCUCCAUAUUCUGUUAAAAAUUCUCUUCACACUUACCAUAUUAACUUAUGCCUUUCAGAAUAUUAAUGACACCCUGCAUUUAGAACCUUUUCAAUUGUAUCCCCUAAAUAGAUCUACAAGGCAUUCAAGACAGUUUCUGCACAAGUUGCCAUCUUUGAAAGAAUUUCCACCUCUGAGCAAGAUACUGUUACCUAUGAUUGCUUCUUUAAGUAAACAUUAUAAACAUAACUAAAUAUUCUAAGAUCGUUUAAUGAUCACAAUAGACUUUUGAAUGUACUAGCCAUAGAAAAACUUGGAUUGCAAAAGGAUUGACUUUGUGUGGGUUUCAGGAUCAUGCAUCAGCAAAAAAUCACAUAAAGACAUCAAGUAAUAAUUAUGGCACUAAAUCCUGUCAUCCAUCAAGAUUUCUAGGUCUAAAUUCAGCUCCAAAAGCCUAACCAAAACUGCAAAGAUCUCUCCCAUUACUUUUUUUUCAACAAAAAACUUUUAACUCUAGGUAACCAAGCUAAAGAUAAAUGUCUGGCUGAAGAUCAGGUGAAAAGAUCCUUACCUUGCUCCAGCUAACCAAAAUGUCGGUCCCAGCUCCAGUUUUUUAUCAACCUUUUCAGGACUAACUUCUGCUCCAAAGACUUAACCCAAAAGCACUAAUAUUCUCCCAUUACCUCUUCUUCAGCAUGUCUUUUGAACGUAAAUAGCCAGGUGAAAAUGCCACAUCCAAAACAAGGUAAUUGCAAAUGUUACUCCCUGUCCAUAGGUAAUGCAUUAAUGCAAGAAAACAGCUUCUUCAAAGGCAAAGCUCUGCUCUGCAAUCAUUUUAGAAGCUCAUGCUGCUGAUCGCUCUAUCUUCUUGCACCUAAAGGACACUAUUCCUUAACAAUUCCACCAUACAAUGAAUUUUCUCUCUUCGGCUAAAGUACUCAUUUAUAACUUUAUUUUCCCAGCAUCACCACAUUUUCAACCCUAUGCUCUUAAUUUGUGCCAACACCCUCUUUAUUGCUCAACAAUCUGUUUGUGAUAACAUCAUAAACCUUGUACGCAUAAAGAAAACAAGUAAUUUAUGUACUAGACCAGGUGAGGACAAAUACAACUGCUUAUGAUGUCAUUUUUGCUCCAGACAGAGCAUUCACUUGAACAGUGCAUGUUUCAUGGUGAAAAAACAAAAGCAGCACCUAAACCAAAACCUAGUCAUACUGAGUAUCCAACAUAUGAAAAAUCCAUUCACAUAUUCAGCAAGACAGAAGUACUAACAGCAAGAUAGAAAUGGGAAAAGAGAGGCACCAACAGCUAAGUAGAAAGAUUAAAAAGCCAUAAGAAGCAGCUAACAACCUUCGUCUUGUUCCAUGGCAUCUGCUUCAUCUUCAGAAGAUGUCCAACCCCCAUGCCGUCUGCUUGAAGAAGCUACAUCAUUCAAGGCAGUAAGAAUUGCUUCUGUGCGAGCAGAUUCAUCCAAGCAUUCAUCAAAAGCACGUCUUGGUGACACAGAACCUACAAAAUCAAGCAUCCGAUUGUAGCUGUUAGUUAAAAAGAGUCAUGAUAAUACAGGCUAAAGUAGAUAGGACAGAUGGAAUGAAAGUUGCACAGACAAACCAUCCUCAUCAACAAUCAUAGGGUGAUAUGGUGUCUUAGGCUCAGUGAUUUUCUGCCUUACUGGUUUAUUUGCUUCAAUCUCAUUCAAGUUUGCCUCGUUCCAUCGCACACGACCCCUAGUUAAGAAUAAGCAUGAACAGGAUUCACUGGCUAGUAACUUCCCAAAAUGAGUGUAACAUUAUAACAUAGGGAUAAGGUCUGCAAUAUAUCUAAAGAUAGAUCGCACACGACCCCUAGUUAAGAAUAAGCAUGAACAGGAUUCACUGGUUAGUAACUUGCCAAAAUGAGUGCAGCAUUAAAAAAUAGUGAUCAGGUCUGCAAUAUAUCUAAAGAUAGCAAACUUGUGCAAAUUGCAGAUUAUGGUUCCAGUCAACUAAACAUAUUCCAGAAUUCUACAAUGAAGAAAUAGCAAAUGUCAAUCAAGUAUGACUGUAAUGGAAAAAGGAAAUACUGGCAGUUUAAUUACAUCGUCCUAUAGCUAGGGGUGGAAAUUUAUGAUCCGACCCGUCAAACCAACUUGUAAAUGACCUACUUUAAGAAUGUUUGGAUUUGAUAUAAAUAGGUUUGGGUCAUAAAUGGGUCAACCCAUCUAGACCUGUUUAUUAAACAGGGUCAGAUUCAGAUUUAGAGCUUUGAUCUAUUUAACAUGUUUUGACAAGUUUAAUAAUUAGGUCGGAUCUUGACCUGACCUAUUUAACCCGUUUAACCUAACUCAAUCUGUUUAGCAAACAGGUUAUGCGGAUCAGAUCGGGUUACCUGUUUAGUAAAAAAAAGUCGGAUUUAGAUUUGAAGUUUUGACCUGUUUAAUGGACAAAUCGGAUUUGAUUGACAGAUUUUUGACCCAACCCGCAUCCAACCCUAUCCAUAUCUAACCUGACCUGAUCCGAUUGCCAUCCCUACUUGUAGCAUAUAUUUUUUAUUUUGCUAGCUUAGAACAAAUUAGUACAUGUCGUACUAUAUUAAAAGAAAUUAGAGCAUACAAACUGAAAAAGGUCAAUCAGCAUAAUAAACAUUCUAAAAUAGAAACUCAUAUCCUCAAUUAUUUCAAUGUUUCACCAAUAUACAUUCUUUUUCCUUAAGAGCUACUAUAUUACGACAAAAAUGUAGUUUACGGUCCAUUUAUUGGUUUGUUGGUAUGAGUCCAGUUCUGCUUAGGUAUUAGUAUCAGAUUCAGAUACUACAAAGAGGUGUACAUGUUUAUUCACAUUUUUAGGUCAAAUUUAUUAAAAUGCAUGCAGCCAUAUUUCUUGACAAUUAUCAUAGUAGAAUUCAAGAGAAGAAUGAUAUAAAACUAGAAAAUGUUAACAUGGAUUAGAGUAAAGCAUGACAUAGAUGACCCGCAGGAUAAUACAACAGAGCAUACUUUUUCUUCUUUCUCCUAUGCCGCAUUAAUAUUAUAAAAUUUCAGUUCUUGAGUUAUUCUUUUUCCCUUGCUUUUUCCUCAUCUUCCACAUUUCCUCCUUAAUUUUUCCAUUUUCCAUAAGUAUUCAUUAUCUUUUUCUCCCCCCUUUCUUUCUUUGUUUCUCCCAAUUUAAAUAAAGCUGCUCUCUCCCUGCUUCUCUUUCUUAUUUCUUUCUUUGAUGUCACCUAUUCCAAUUUUUUUCUGUUUUUUCUUUGAGAGGAAAUUUCUUCUGUUUUAACUCCCUUUUUUUUCUCAUCUCCUUCUUACUUCUUUUUUUUUAGUUUCUUUUUCAAUUUUCUUUUCUUGUUGCUCAAAACAUGAUUAUGUUUGUUUAGUAUAACUAUUUAAAGGGUUCAAAUGGUUUUAAUGACGUCAAAUAUGAUGAGAUAUUGUGAAGAUAUAUUGUUGUAGAUUGCAUUGAACUUUAAAGUAUGGCAGCAAUUUUCAUGCUUAGCUGUCUUUCAUCUCCAGAGAACUGUCUAGGCCAUUUUAAGGAUCCAUCCCCUAGCUUAGCUAUAUGAUUCCACAACCAUGUUUUGAGAUAUUGUAAUAAGAAAUUUACAAUUCUUUCUUAUAAAACCAUGAGGCCUGAUUAAAAGACUUUAAGUAACACUACAAGCAUUAUUGCUGAUAUAGACGUCAUAGGUAUGCAAGACCAGUAAUCAAUAAAUUUUGAUUCAGAUAAGGCAGUCAACUUUAGAUAGAUUGUUUAUAUAGAUUAUGCACAUUUCAUAUUCUAGAGCUAACCAGGGGGUAGUAGAUAAUUCUAUACUCCAGGUGAUGAUCCUUUAAUCACUUAUCCAUGGGUUAGAAAAGUUGGCGUGUAGUUGCUGCUUGCUGAACCUAACGUUAUUGUCAGGAUGGAAAAAAACGUGUUGUUUUGUUGGAUAGAUAGGGGUUAAGUGAUUAAGGCCCUUUGCCUUGUCUAAUGAAAAGGUAAAGUACCUCUCCUCUCAUAUAUAAACAACUCAUGGGAUCAUCCAACCAUGCAAGACAACUAAUUUUCAUUGCAACUAUAUUGACUGACAUAAAAAGAAGCUGGCUCCGACCUCUACACCUGGUUCAAGUGAUCAUACUCUCCUCAUUACUGCCAAUCAAGAUCCCAGGGAUGAUCAAUCAUUCAUAGAUCCCAUAUAGAGGGGGAAGAUAAGCAAGUGAUUUUGACAAAAAAAAAAAAAAUUUUGAAAGACCUAUCCGUCAGACCUUCGAGAUGGGACGACAGUUAGCCUGGAUCGAGGGUCCGACAGGUGGCCUGGGUUGCUGCAAGCAUUAGGGCUAGAACCAAGGGUGGACAAUGUCCAUAACGCUGUCAUGAGUGUGAUUCAAGGUGUUGGAAGUGGCAGAAAAGGAGACCAGAUCUGAGGCUCCUCAAGGGUAGAUGGUCAAUGGCGAGGUAGAGGUCGUCAAUCCAGUAUGGAGCCAUUCAGCUUCAUAAGAGAGGAAGAGAGGGCAACUCCAGCUCAAGUGUGGGCCAACAAAAAAGGGGAUGCUCAAUUGGUGACAAACCCCAGCGAAGAUUGCACGAGGGUCAGGAUCAACCAGGGAAGGGAUAUGGAGCAGCCGAUGUCAAGCCACAAUCCACCACCAUAGAGAGGAGCGCACAGUAAACCAGUGGACUGGGAGUAUCAAAAGGGUGGGGGAGGAAUAGUUUAGGUAGUAAAAUGAGGGUGGGGAUAAUAACGAGGUGGUUAAACAAAUUUCAUUUGGAGUGAUGAAAUAAGUUUAACUAGGUUAAGCACCUUUUUGGUGCAUUGACAAGCUAGAAAUAAGCCCCUAUUUUUUGUGAGGGUUUGGCUAGUUAAGUGGUUAUCACUUAACAAACAACCAAAGAUUUUAUUUGGUUUCUAGUUAAGUGGGGGUCAGUGGAUGGUUAUUCACUUAACCAGCCAAACAUCAUCCAAAUCUGGGGUGCAAGUUUGCCUGGUCAAUGCACAAAACUCUCUUCUCUCUCUUAUUUUUCUUUACUUUUCCCCAUAACCUAACCAACUAACCCUCAAACUUCAAGUAGAUAGACAAUAUUACUAGCUCAAGGAUAUGUGGUAGAAGGGUUGGUUAUGUACAGUUAAAAAUAUCUAUCCUCCAGUUAGUUAUCUAGCAUCCAAACGUCAUCUUAGUGGACAAAAUUAUGUAAUUGUGUUGAUUAGUUUCACGACUUGACGAGAUUUUGCAUUAUCAUGCUACCAGAGAUACUAAAUUGCUAGCCCAAGACAACUCCACAGCUUUGGGGAACUACCACAAGAGAUUUAGCAUUUAUUCGGCAAAGUUCUUAAAUUCCAUGUUUACUCAAGGGUUUAAGGAAUGGUUUGAUCCAGACUAUCCCAUCUCAGUGCGGCCCGCCACUUGGGAUGGCUUGCUAGCCCACUCAUUUACUGCAACAACAAUAUUUUUAAUUAUUUUUGUUUUUAUUUUUCCCAUAUUUCCUGUUUCUAAUGGUUGUUUACAGGUCUUCUAUUGCUUUAUUUAAACUCAUCACCUUUUUGUUCAUGGGACGAUUGAUAGGUAGUGUUUCAUUUAAAUUUUUUAUUUUUUUCAAUCCCACUAGGGUUGAUACUGAUACUGCACCACAAACCCAAUCAUAGGCUCCACACUAAAUUUUGACGUACAACUUCUGGAAACUCCUA
rnacentral:lncRNA from 1 species